AAGACUUAAAUGGCAAGUCGAGGGAGAUCCUGUAGGGACUCUUAGCUUUCCUUGCCGUGAACCGGCGCACGGGAUGCUGCCCCCUAAGCGGCCUGCCCUCCUGGAGGCGACAACCUUCCCCCCUGAAGAUGAUCGAGGGUACAUCGUUCUGUGACAUUCGUUAUCGGGAUGGAUUCCGCAUGGAACUGUGGGGCUGUACCUCAUUGGCUAGACAGCGGCCUACCGGCCCAACGAGGCGACGACGCGCAGAGAUUCUGAAAGGACAGUCUGCCACUGAGACACUGACACAACUCCUGCAGUAGGUAGCGAAAUGGAAUUUUCGUCAAUGGGCGCAAGCCUGAACGAGCGAUGCCGCGUGAGUGAAGAAGGCCUUCGGGUCGUAAAGCUCUGUUGCGGGGGAAAAAAGGCAGCAUCAGGAAAUGGGUGCUGACUGAUGGUGCCCCGCCAGAAAGUCACGGCUAACUACGUGCCAGCAGCCGCGGUAAUACGUAGGUGGCGAGCGUUAUCCGGAAUGAUUGGGCGUAAAGGGUGCGCAGGCGGUCCUGCAAGUCUGGAGUGAAACGCAUGAGCUCAACUCAUGCAUGGCUUUGGAAACUGGAGGACUGGAGAGCAGGAGAGGGCGGUGGAACUCCAUGUGUAGCGGUAAAAUGCGUAGAUAUAUGGAAGAACACCAGUGGCGAAGGCGGCCGCCUGGCCUGUUGCUGACGCUGAGGCACGAAAGCGUGGGGAGCAAAUAGGAUUAGAUACCCU
rnacentral:rRNA from 1 species